GUCCAGACUCCUACGGGAGGCAGCAGUGGGGAAUAUUGCACAAUGGGGGGAACCCUGAUGCAGCGACGCCGCGUGAGUGAAGAAGUAUUUCGGUAUGUAAAGCUCUAUCAGCAGGGAAGAAAAUGACGGUACCUGAUUAAGAAGCCCCGGCUAACUACGUGCCAGCAGCCGCGGUAAUACGUAGGGGGCAAGCGUUAUCCGGAUUUACUGGGUGUAAAGGGAGCGUAGACGGUGAUGCAAGUCAGAAGUGAAAGCCCGGGGCUCAACCCCGGGACUGCUUUUGAAACUGUGUAACUGGAGUGCAGGAGAGGUAAGCGGAAUUCCUGGUGUAGCGGUGAAAUGCGUAGAUAUCAGGAGGAACACCAGUGGCGAAGGCGGCUUACUGGACUGUAACUGACGUUGAGGCUCGAAAGCGUGGGGAGCAAACAGGAUUAGAUACCCCCGUA
rnacentral:rRNA from 1 species